CUUCAUCUUUCUGAUGUGAUGUGUCUGGGUUUUGUUUUCUUUUAGAGUUUUCAAAGAACUCCAGGAAGUGACUGCAGAGCAAAGUAGGAUCCUGGUACUGAGAGAAGACAGCUAUCUGCAAACCAGAAAGACGGUCCUCACCACACAUCUUAUCUGCCAAUGGAUCCUUGCUCUUGAACCUCCCGAUCUGCAGAAUCAUGAGAAAUAAACAUUGUGUAAGCCACCCAGUCUACAGUAAUUUGUUCUAGCAGCCCAAGCUGACUAAGAUAUGGUCUCAUUACAUAACCACUUUUAACCCUAGUCUUUCUAUCUGUAAAGUAAGAGGGUGAAAGAAGUCAUGCCAGAAGAUGU
rnacentral:lncRNA from 13 species